AGUGAACGCUGGCGGCAGGCUUAACACAUGCAAGUCGAGCGCCCCGCAAGGGGAGCGGCAGACGGGUGAGUAACGCGUGGGAACGUACCCUUUGCUACGGAAUAGCUCCGGGAAACUGGAAUUAAUACCGUAUGUGCCCUACGGGGGAAAGAUUUAUCGGCAAAGGAUCGGCCCGCGUUGGAUUAGCUAGUUGGUGGGGUAAUGGCCUACCAAGGCGACGAUCCAUAGCUGGUCUGAGAGGAUGAUCAGCCACAGUGGGACUGAGACACGGCCCAAACUCCUACGGGAGGCAGCAGUGGGGAAUAUUGGACAGUGGGCGCAAGCCUGAUGCAGCCAUGCCGCGUGAGUGAUGAAGGCCUUAGGGUUGUAAAGCUCUUUCACCGGAGAAGAUAAUGACGGUAUCCGGAGAAGAAGCCCCUGCUAACUUCGUGCCAGCCGACGCAGUAAUAC
rnacentral:rRNA from 1 species